GAAAUGCGAUAAGUAAUGUGAAUUGCAGAAUUCAGUGAAUCAUCGAAUCUUUGAACGCACCUUGCGCUCCUUGGUAUUCCGAGGAGCAUGCCUGUUUGAGUGUCAUUACAUUCUCAACCGUUUGAAUUUUGAACGGCUUGGACUUGGGGGUACUUGUGCCGGCCCUAAAGGUCGGCUCCCCUUAAAUGCAUUAGCUGGUCGCCCCUCUCGUGCUGACUUGGUGUGAUAAUUCUAUUUGCACCGCUUUGGCAUGGAUGUUUUUUGGGAGGCUGCUUUCUAACCGUCCCUUGUGGACAGUAGUCUCUUUCGAGCAAUGACACCUCUUGACCUCAAAUCAGGUAGGACUACCCGCUGAACUUAA
rnacentral:rRNA from 1 species